GUCACAAUGUAGAACCCUAAAUGUUUGUCCUCUGUUCUAUUGAUUUCAACAUGAUAUGGAUAUUAGCCUCAGGGGGAAAUCUAGGCCUGAAUUGGUCACAAAAAGUGACUAACAAAAAAAGAGUUGUUCCACUUACCACGUUGGUGACCCACCUCAUUCAAUAUGCAACACUUCAAAAUGUAUCUGUCUGUUUUCUCCUAAUUGUCCUCUAACCAGUGUGUGCACAUUAUUCCCAGAUUCCGUGUGGUUUUUGCUGCGUUAGUUUUAACAGGUCUUGCAGCCUCAUCUCCCCCCUCUCGGCACAAUUGAUUUCAACGUGAUAUCGAUGAGUGAUGACAAAUAAGUGUUGCGUUCCUUUGUUUAGCGACCCCUACAUUUAAAUGCAACACUCCAAAAUGUAGCUGACUGUCUUCUGCAGGUUGUCCUCUAACCAGUGAGGUAAAAGAUAUCUCCCAUUUCCAGGUGUUUUUUGUAUGUGUCAGUUCCAACAUCAUGUACAACCUGAUUUCUAAUCGAUAUCAGUGAUUUAUUGCUACUGUCAAAACAACAGUGUUCUGGUGCUUGUGGAGCUUGUUUUAAGAAGUAAAAUGAUUAUUGUUGCACGUUUGUUUAAAUUUUAUGAUUCUCAAUUCAUCAAACUGUUAAUGCAUAUUGGUUAUUGAUUUGGACACCCCAAAAUGUCAUUAAAAAGAUGCCCGAAGUCCAAUAUAUGUUCGGUUGAAAGUGAAAGUUAAGAUGUCUUUUCAGGUCGUUUUUUUUUUCAAUGACUUGAAAACAACUUAAUUUCAACGUACUUGCAGCCUGGACGCAGUAUAAUAAAUUGAGUCUAUAAUCAAUUUUAUUAACAAUCUGACAUCACUCCAGUAUUUUUUGACAACAUUCAAGUGCUAAUUGUCUUUAUUCCACUACUGAAGAAGCAUGUCUCAAAUCACCUCAUAUUUCAAACAUUCAGCCUGACAAAAGAUACAUGUUUAUUAUUUCAUGCCUCACCAUUAAGUGAAGUAUUGCCAAUACAUAUUAACAAAGCGGUGUACAUUUGGUUUUGAUAAUUCAUAUUUACAAUUAUGUAACAUUUAGUAAUCAUAGUUAUUCAUGCAACCAACUGACAGUUGGAGGUGUGAUGUAGUUAAUGGAGAUGGAGGUGUGUUCUAGUGGGUCUGGGCAGGUGUGAUGUACUUCAUGUUUGUAUGAUGUUGUCGUUUGUAUGUUUUGUAUUGUUUAUAAAAAGAUAAAUAAAAUAUUUUUCCCAAUGCAAAGUAA